AAACUGAUAUUGAGGUGAACAUUGUUGCAAAAAGUUAUUGGGGUGACGCAAGAGAGAAACUUCUAGACUAUUGAAGAUCUGAAAUUGGACUCAAUUGUACUGGGAAGCAGGGAACUUAGCACAAUCCAAAGAAAUGUAGAUGAAUUGCCAGGCAAACGCAAACGUCUGAGGCCGGGAAAUGUUUCUCCUUAUCGAGAAGUUCCGAAGGAUAUUCCUAGGCCUCCACAUGUAAAGUCUAAAACUCCAGCAGGACUUGUGACUGGCCCUGAAGUGCAUGAUGAGAAGGGGAUAUAAUGCAUGAGAGCUUCUGGAAGGCUUGCUGCACAGGUUCUUCAAUAUGCUGGCACCUU